GUAUUGUUCUGUGUAAAGCUGAUGGUGCUGUUCACAUCAGAAAUUGCAGCACUGAAGAACAGAGUUCAUGCAGACUUUUACAACAUGCAUCAGCUACAGCAUUUGUUUGUUGAUGGUACCAGCUGUCAAAAACCAAGCAAGUGGCAGUGCUAGAGGUGCCACAAAAGUGCGAAGGAAGUGUCAGGCUGGAUGUCAAAAUGAACACCUUGGAGAACUGGAUGAUGGAACAGACGGUAAAAAUCAGCUAAACAUCAGAGAAAAUGGAGGAAGAGGUCAAAACUGUGAACAGGAACUAGAAGAAAGUGUAGCAGAAAAAGACUUGUCACAAACUUCGAGAGAUUUGGAGAAAAUGAUGUCAAAACACAUCUUCCUCAAGCCCAUGCUGAGUAUCUCUGAUUUGGUUAAUUUCUUGCUGGCACCCUCUCUACGUCUCUGCCAUCUGUCACCUAGACAACACAGCAUCUUCCAAAUGAGUGCCUCUAUUUCCAGGGUGAUCUUAAAACAGAAAUCAGAUUUUCACCCCUGCUGAAUAUCCUUCAGGGUCUCUUCUCUGCACCCAGCUGGAAUCCAAACACUGGUCCAGGAAGCCCCGCCUGCCUCUCCUGCCUCACCCAGAUGGCUCUACCCUUUGCCCACCUCACUUCAGCCACAGUGGCCUCACCUAAGUGCCUCCACAUUUGGUAUCUAUUCAUUCUCUAGCCAGUGCACCUCAGAAUGCCUGGAAUUCAGCUGGGCAUGGUGGCCCAUUCCUGUAAUUCCAGCACUUUGUGAGGCCAAGGUGGGUGGAUCACUUGAGGUCAGGAGUUCGAGACCAGCCUGACCAACAUGGGGAACCCCCGUCUCUACCGAAAAUACAAAAAUUAGUUGGGCAUAGUGGUGCGUGCCUGUAAUCCCAGCCACUCUGGAGGCCGAGGUAGGAGAAUUGCUUGAACCUGGAGGUGGAGGUUGCAGUGAGCCAAGAUUGUGCCACUGCACUCCAGCCUGGGCGACACAGCAAGAUUCUGUCUCAAACAAACAAACAAACAAAUAAAAAGAAUGCCUGGAAUUCCUGUCCUUUCCCAUCACUUGUUGUCUCUUUCUCAUCUUUCCAGCCUCAGCUUAAAUGUCACCUCCUCAGGGGAGCCUUCCCUGGUCACAUGAUCUUUAAUAGGUCAUCCAUGUUUUUCUUCCCUCAGCACCUCAUUUGUUUCCUUCCCAGUACUUAAUGUAAUAGAUCAUUAUUCUUUGUGUAUUUAAGUGUCUCCCCAUGGUGGGUGCAGUGGCUCAUGCCUGUAAUCCCAGUACUUUGGGAGGCUGAGGCAGGAGGAUUACUUGUGUCCAGGAGUUUGAGACCAGCCUGGGCAACAUAGUGAGAUCCUGUCUCUAUAAAAAAAAUUACAAAUUAGCCAAGUGUGGUGGUGCAGACCUGUAGUCCCAGUUACUCGGGAGGCUAAGGCGGGAGGAUCACUUGAGCCUGGGAGGUCGAGGCUAAAGUGAGCUGAGAUGGUGCCACUGAACUCCAGCUUGGGUGUCAGAGUGAGACCCUAAAAAAGAAAAAGUUAAAUUAAAUAAUUGUUUCCCCAACUACACUAUAAUCUCCAU
rnacentral:lncRNA from 1 species